CCUACGGGCGGCAGCAGUGGGGAAUAUUGGACAAUGGGCGAAAGCCUGAUCCAGCCAUGCCGCGUGUGUGAAGAAGGCCUUCGGGUUGUAAAGCACUUUCAGUGGGGAAGAAAGCCUUGGGGCUAAUACCCUCGAGGAAGGACAUCACCCACAGAAGAAGCACCGGCUAACUCCGUGCCAGCAGCCGCGGUAAUACGGAGGGUGCGAGGGUUAAUCGGAAUUACUGGGCGUAAAGCGCGCGUAGGCGGUCUGAUAAGCCGGUUGUGAAAGCCCCGGGCUCAACCUGGGAACGGCAUCCGGAACUGUCAGGCUAGGGUGCAGGAGAGGAAGGUAGAAUUCCCGGUGUAGCGGUGAAAGGCGUAGAGAUCGGGAGGAAUACCAGUGGCGAAGGCGGCCUUCUGGACUGACACUGACGCUGAGGUGCGAAAGCGUGGGUAGCAAACAGGAUUAGAUACCCGGUAGUC
rnacentral:rRNA from 1 species